GGUGGAGACAUUACAGAAACCAACGGGAGCCCCCUGAGCUGGCAGAUACCUGUGCAACGCGGGAAUGGGGCCCCGGCUCCUGCGCUGUGUCGUGCUUUGUCUCCUGGGAGCAGGCCCCCUGGAAGCCGAAGUGACCCAGAUGCCGAGACACCUCAUCACAGAGACCAAAAAGAAGUUGACAGUGACUUGUUCUCAGAAUAUGGACCAUGAGGCUAUGUACUGGUAUCGACAAGACCCUGGACUGGGGCUCAGGCUGAUCUAUUAUUCCAUUAAUGUGGGCCAUAUUGAAAAGGGAGAUGUCCCUGAUGGGUACAAGGUGUCUCGAACAGAGAAGACAAAUUUCCCACUGACCCUGGAGUCACCCAGCAUCAGCCAGACCUCUCUGUACCUUUGUGCCAGCAGUAUAUCCACAGCAUGUCACAGCCCAGGGUCCUCCCCACAAAAAGGGCAGCCACAGAGCAAGGAGGCCCCUCCCUCCAGAUGCCCCGCCUUCCCCCACCAUCUGUGCCCAUAG